GAUGAACGCUGGCGGCGUGCUUAACACAUGCAAGUCGAACGGAAAGGCCCAAGCUUGCUUGGGUACUCGAGUGGCGAACGGGUGAGUAACACGUGGGUGGUCUGCCCUGCACUUCGGGAUAAGCCUGGGAAACUGGGUCUAAUACCGGAUAGGACCACUUCUUGGAUGUUGUGGUGGAAAGUUUUUUCGGUGUGGGAUGAGCUCGCGGCCUAUCAGCUUGUUGGUGGGGUAAUGGCCUACCAAGGCGUCGACGGGUAGCCGGCCUGAGAGGGUGUACGGCCACAUUGGGACUGAGAUACGGCCCAGACUCCUACGGGAGGCAGCAGUGGGGAAUAUUGCACAAUGGGCGCAAGCCUGAUGCAGCGACGCCGCGUGGGGGAUGACGGCCUUCGGGUUGUAAACUCCUUUCGCUAGGGACGAAGCGUUUUGUGACGGUACCUGGAGAAGAAGCACCGGCUAACUACGUG
rnacentral:rRNA from 1 species